CCAAACUUGGUCAUUUAGAGGAAGUAAAAGUCGUAACAAGGUCUCCGUUGGUGAACCAGCGGAGGGAUCAUUAUAGAGUUAUACAACUCCCAACCCAUGUGAACUUACCACUGUUGCCUCGGCGGUAUCUGCCCUGUAGCUACCCCGUAGCUGCCCUGCGGCGGGCCGCCGGUGGACUUCUAAACUAUUGUUAUUUUUGUAUUCUGAGCGUCUUAUUUUAAUAAGUCAAAACUUUCAACAACGGAUCUCUUGGUUCUGGCAUCGAUGAAGAACGCAGC
rnacentral:misc_RNA from 1 species